rnacentral:sRNA from 1 species
AGUGCAUCACCGCAGGCGGGCCUCGCGGGUCCGGGAGCGCGGCGGAGACGAUGCCUGAGAUCAGAGUCACGCCCUUGGGUAGAUGAUGAGCUGGAGAUCAAGGCCUACUAUGCAGGCCACGUGCUGGGGGCAGCCAUGUUCCAGAUUAAAGUGGGCUCAGAGUCUGUGGUCUACACGGUCAGUGGAAGGGCUUGAGGCUCGGGAGGGGCUGCUGGGGUGGGAGGCACCCUCCUCAUGGCAUCCUUGAUCGUUCACCAGGGUGAUUAUAACAUGACCCCAGACCGACACUUAGGGUAAGUAGGCUGAGGUGUCUUUUUGUCCCGUGGGCCCCCCUGGAGCUCAGGACCCUUGCAGGCGUCAGGGUGCCAGCCCUUGAGUGGCCAGCCUGGCAGCGUCUCCCAUGUCCUGUGCGGCCUGGAGAGCCCCCUUCGUUCUGGGCCCAAAUGCGCGAAGGCACAGGGUCCAGGCGGGGGCCUCAGUCCCUCCUUCUCUCUCUUCCCAAGUGUCUGGGUGGGUGCCUCUGUCUCGCUCUUCCGAAGUGUCUGGGUGGG